rnacentral:rRNA from 1 species
GACGAACGCUGGCGGCGUGCUUAACACAUGCAGGUCGAACGGACAGGCCCUGCUUGUAGUGUACUCGCGUGGCCAACGGGUGAGUAACUCGCGGGUGAUCUGCCCUCCUCUUCGGGUUAAGCCAGUGCAACUGGGUCUAAUUCCGGCUAGGAGCUAUAUUUAGUGUGAUGGUUGGAUAGUUUUGUCGGUGUUGGCUGUGCUUGCUGGCUAUCUGCUUGCUGGUGGGGUUAUUGCCUACCAAGGCGGCUACGGGUAGCCGGACUGUGAGGGUGGACGGCGACAUUGAGACUGAGAGAAGGCACAGACACCGAAGGGAGGCAGAAGUGGGGAAUACUGAACAAUGAGCGCAAGCCGGAUGCAGAGACGCUGCGUGGCGGAUGACGGCCUUCGGGGUGUAAACUCCAUUCGCAAGGGACGAAGCUUUUUGUGACGGUACCUAGAUAAGAAGCACCGGCUAACUACGUG